rnacentral:lncRNA from 1 species
CAUAAACCUAGCCUACUAUACUCCAAGGAAGGAAGUCUCAUCUUAUUUAGGAAACUUGAGGUGAACUUCUUUAUAAAUUCUGGAUACAUAAUUGAUAACAGCUAACAAUAUGUUUACUAAGGUAUAUGUGUUUCCAUCAGCCUUGUAUUUAAGUAUAUAUUCAGAUCUUUUGAAAUGUAGUAAUUGUCAAGUUCAGAUAUUUUAAACAAAUUCUUCUCCAUACUCCUACAGACCGAAAUGUUACAAUGAUCACUGACUCAACUGAUGACUAGGAUCCAAAGAUGACAUUCCAGCCACCACAACCUCUGGGGCCGCCAUCUUGGAUCACAGCACAGAACCCCCAGAGGCAAUAACCAACCUCUGGAGGCCUCCACAUCCAAACCUGAAAUGUGCACUGAUGGCAACAUUUUACAACUACCUUCCACCCCCAUGAACAAAAUUAAGUCCUCACAGAAUCUGCCAGUCCCCCAAAGUAAUGGACUUAUCAAACUCUGACAGUAGAAAAUCACUAUGACUAUAUAGGUAUCUCAGCAUUUGAUCUCACACUCAUAGUGAAUGUACAGAUUGUUUAGCCACAUAUGUUUUUAUUACUUUGAACUACAUCAUGGAAUUUAAUUGGCAAAAGCUCCACCACUCCAAGUAUUGAGUUCCUCUAUAGUUCUUUGGGGGUGACCUUUCAUGGUGCCUAUAUGCUCCUUCAGAAACUUGGGGAACUAUAACUGAAGGAAGCACUCAGGCAUCUGUUGUGGAAAAGAGCAGUCUCUGAGACAAAUGUCAGGGCUAGAAUUAAGCUGAUUGGCACACAUUAAAAUGCAACAUAAUAGUGUAUUUGUCGCAGUGGCCCACUCCUGCAGUUGGCUCAUG